GGGUCAGUAGGUUGGUCGUGCCACCGGUACGUACUGGUCUCACUGAUUCCUCCUUCCUGAAGAACCGUAAUGCCAUUAAUUUGGUGUUGCGGGGAGACAGGACUGUUACUUUGAAAAAAUUAGAGUGUUUAAAGCAAGCUAACGCUUGAAUACAUAAGCAUGGAAUAAUGAAAUAGGACGAUCGAUCCUAUUUUGUUGGUUUCUAGGAUUGACGUA
rnacentral:rRNA from 1 species